rnacentral:rRNA from 1 species
AAGAGACAGCAGCAGCCACGGUAAGACAGAGGAUGCAAGCGUUAUCCGGAAUGAUUGGGCGUAAAGCGUCUGUAGGUGGCUUUUCAAGUCCGCCGUCAAAUCCCAGGGCUCAACCCUGGACAGGCGGUGGAAACUACCAAGCUGGAGUACGGUAGGGGCAGAGGGAAUUUCCAGUGGAGCGGCGAAAUGCGUUGAGAUCGAAAAGAACACCAACAGCGAAAGCACUCUGCUGGGACGACACUGACACUAAGAGACGAAAGCUAGGGGAGCAAAUGGGAUUAGAUACCCCUGUAGUCCCUGUCUCUUAUAC